GAAGUUUCUGCGGGAAGAUUUCCACACCAGCUGUAGGAACUAUUUCCCUCCAUUUGAACUGAGACAGAAGUACAUCUGCAAACUGUUAUUUCGUUUGGAACGAAACCUACCUACUGUCAAACACAAAAGACACCAUACCUUUGAGAACUACAUCACACUCUUGCUUUGACAGAAGUCACCAAGUCAGCGCUGCAAGCUCCAUACACCCAGGAACCAGAGGACAGCUCUAGUGACCAACUCAGAGAAGGUCAAAUAAAAUUUCCAUGGCUUUGGGAGGAGAGCUAGAUCUCCAGUUGAUAUUCAUAGGGAGGACACAUAACCUCAGGUUGACCUUGCUUAUUGGUAUGAAUCAUUGACUGUCAGGCACAGGAGGAGAAUCAGGAACUGGAGCCAAAAAUUUCUUAAGUUAUUGACAAGAAUAUAAAAGUGGAGAAAAACAAUAGUAAAAUUACGUACCAGCAAUAUGGACCGGGCAAUACAAGUCAUUUUUUUCAAUAUGUAGUAC
ensembl:lncRNA